UUUUAAUUUUAGAUGGUUUUCUUUAUUUUGGAUAAAUUUUAUAAAUUGUUAUAUUCUUAAAUUAACAGAAAAGUUUUUUUACAGCUAUAACCGUUUUAUCCAAUUAUGUUUUGUUUUACAAAAGUACAACCAAUAAUUUACAGCUACAGUUAUGAUAACUACAACAAAAAUCUUCGCAGAAAAAUAUAUUUUAGUAAAUGUACAACUACAGCCAAUACACUUACAGUACAAAUUCUACAAUAAUUUUUUAACAGUUACAGUCCAACCAAUUACACCCAUUGAUUAGUGUUUUUUUGUGCGACUUAUAUAUAUUGAUUAGUUGUUUCUAUUUAUACGUUAUUCUUUGCAGAAUAUUCGCACAGCCUCAAAAUGUUUUUGUUUUAAUGGUCUGUUUGUGUAGAUUUUAGAGAUGUGCUUUCUCUAUUCUGUUUGGGUUUUAAAAUGUUUAACUCAUCAGACAUUUUUAUAGAUUUCAUUUCAACAUGUUAGAUGGGAUUAAAAGUAGGUGUUAAAAGAUUGCUUAAUUUUCACCUACUUAUAUUUUGGGACAUUUGCUAAAAACAACCCAAAUAUUCAAGUCAAAUCUAAAAGUGUACCCCACUUUCAGUCAAAUGCAAAACAAACCUAAAAGGGUAGUGAAAAUACUAGUUAACCCUUAUGACCAAACAAAAAAACAGAAAUGUAUUUUACGUUUCUAUCCUUCGGAAGUCUACACGUAAUAAAAGAAGUCUACAUAUAUAUAGAUUUCCUACGAUGUCUACCUUAUAGACUUAUUUUGUAGUCUACACUCUAAUUUGAUCUAAUAAUUUAAUUUUGAAAAUGUAUAAAAAUAAUUAUUGUGAUAUUUUUAACUAAUCAUCAAUAUAAUGGAUAAUAUGAACUAAAUAAAUUAAAAUUUCAUAUAAUUGAACAAUUUUGAAGAAUAUAUACUAAUUUGGUUAUCAUGUGUUAGACAAUGUUCAUAGUUUAGAAACAAAAUGUUCUUACAUGUUAUGUCUUUUAGUAGUUGAUUUCAUAGGGUUGGAUUUUAGAUUUUGUUUUUUUUAUUGUUUUGUUAUCUUAAAUCUGCAUAGUAAUGUUUAGUAGUUUAUAUUUUGUACAAUUGAGACUUUUUGAUUAUCAAGCAAAACAUUUAGCGUUUGAGAUUUGUGGUUUAGGGUUUAGGGUUUCGUAGACCUACAAUAAAGUCUAUUUAUCUGUAGACGUCCUUUUCAGUCUAUUUUAUUGGUAUUUACAAAAAAUCUUAAAUUUUAAAUUAAAUUUAGGGUAUAGUAGACGUCUUUUUGGUCUACUAGGAUACAAUUGAUUAAUUUAGGGUAUAGUAGACGUCUUUUUUAGUUUAAUAAGACCUGAAAUUACAAAAAAGAUUGAUUAAAUUUUGUUUUUAUGGAAACGGAAAUGAUAUCAUAUAUUAAACUUAUUAUAAAAAUAAAGAAAAAAUAAAUAAAUUAUAUAUAUAAAUAAAGAACAAAAAAUAAUUUAUAUAAAUAUAUAAAUAUAUAUAUAAAAAAUUGUAAUAGACAUACCGAUUGUAGACCUACUUGUGUGUCUACGGAACCGGAAACAAUUUAAUUUAACCAAAAUAAUAUAAUCUAACAAGUAUUAAACCAGAAAAGUUUUAACCUAACCGGAUAACUUUCCCGACAUAUAAAUACAAUUUUUAGUCUUCAUUUGGUAAAAAAAGACAAACCCUAGCGGCCGUUACUCUCUCUCUCUCUCUCUCUCUCGGGCGAUUUCCGGUGAAGUCAACCCGUUUCUGCCGCUUACACUGGUUGCCGUCCCGCUGCUGCUGCUAUAUCUUCCCUCUGUAAGAUCUGAGCCGGCGAAGGAACAUUGUGUAUGUAUGUCUCUCUAUCCAACUGUUGAGCUUUUGAAGGGCUUGAGAAAGAAGAGGGCCACCUCAAAACAACUAAUCACAACAAUAUUGUAACUUCAGCUCGUUCAACUUCUCUACUCUUUUCAAGAGAAAUCAUGAGUAGGCUAUAAGCAAUCUAGCUAGAGUAGUGAUGAUUCUUCUGCCAUAACCGGCAUUGACAGCUUGCUGGCAAGUGAGGUGCCUAUCGGUUAUCAGGCUGGGACUUUCACUUUAGAGGACUGACCUACAGUCCUGGCAUGGCUCGGUCUAGGCGUUUAAGAGAGAUUCUCCACCGGUUGUAGACUUCAAUAGCGAUCUUGAAACUCUCUGAGACGAGAAAAUUGCAAGAAGGCGGAAGCUUUGUAUCCACUGUCAAUACUGUAUCACAACCAACUGUUACGGACAUUGCAGCAUCAGUAUGUCUAUGGAGUUCUUGUAUUUUAAGCCAUGGCCACAUUCAUUGGCCAAGUCUAUGUUCUAUCGUUGAUUGCACUCUUUGUGGCCGCUUCAACUGCCCUGAUUGUGCAACCAUUUUUUGGCUAGAAUUGGAGGAUAUGAAGUUUUUGGUAAUAGGUGUUUGUAUUAUAUGCCUUUGUACUAGCUAUAUUGUAUUGUGCUUUUGUAUCACUGCUGUAUUAUGUAAUUUUCUUGGAUAUUCUGUACUGAAGUGUACUCGACCGAAAGUAGACUUGUUUAAUACAACUCCAAAUGAAUACAUCAAA